GACGAACGCUGGCGGCGUGCUUAACACAUGCAAGUCGAACGAUGAACCCGGAGCUUGCUCUGGGGGAUUAGUGGCGAACGGGGGAGUAACACGUGAGUAACCUGCCCUGGACUCUGGGAUAAGCGUUGGAAACGACGUCUAAUACCGGAUAGGACCUCGGAUCGCAUGAUCUGGGGUGGAAAGUUUUUUCGGUCUGGGAUGGACUCGCGGCCUAUCAGCUUGUUGGUGAGGUAAUGGCUCACCAAGGCGUCGACGGGUAGCCGGCCUGAGAGGGUGACCGGCCACACUGGGACUGAGACACGGCCCAGACUCCUACGGGAGGCAGCAGUGGGGAAUAUUGCACAAUGGGCGAAAGCCUGAUGCAGCAACGCCGCGUGCGGGAUGACGGCCUUCGGGUUGUAAACCGCUUUUAGUAGGGAAGAAGGGCUUCGGCUUGACGGUACCUGCAGAAAAAGGACCGGCUAACUACGUGCCAGCAGCCGCGGUAAUACGUAGGGUCCGAGCGUUGUCCCGGAAUUAUUGGGCGUAAAGAGCUCGUAGGCGGUUUGUCGCGUCUGCUGUGAAAUCUGGAGGCUCAACCUCCAGCCUGCAGUGGGUACGGGCAGACUAGAGUGCGGUAGGGGAGAAUGGAAUUCCUGGUGUAGCGGUGAAAUGCGCAGAUAUCAGGAGGAACACCGAUGGCGAAGGCAGUUCUCUGGGCCGUAACUGACGCUGAGGAGCGAAAGCGUGGGGAGCGAACAGGAUUAGAUACCCUGGUAGUCCACGCCGUAAACGUUGGGCGCUAGAUGUGGGGACCUUUCCACGGUUUCCGUGUCGUAGCUAACGCAUUAAGCGCCCCGCCUGGGGAGUACGGCCGCAAGGCUAAAACUCAAAGGAAUUGACGGGGGCCCGCACAGGCGGCGGAGCAUGCGGAUUAAUUCGAUGCAACGCGAAGAACCUUACCAAGGCUUGACAUAACCGAGAACGCUGCAGAAAUGUGGAACUCUUUGGACACUCGGUUACAGGUGGUGCAUGGUUGUCGUCAGCUCGUGUCGUGAGAUGUUGGGUUAAGUCCCGCAACGAGCGCAGCCCUCGUCGCAUGUUGCCAGCACGUAAUGGUGGGAACUCAUGUGAGACUGCCGGGGUCAACUCGGAGGAAGGUGGGGAUGACGUCAAAUCAUCAUGCCCCUUAUGUCUUGGGCUUCACGCAUGCUACAAUGGCCGGUACAAAGGGCUGCGAUGUCGUAAGGCGGAGCGAAUCCCAAAAAGCCGGUCUCAGUUCGGAUUGAGGUCUGCAACUCGACCUCAUGAAGUCGGAGUCGCUAGUAAUCGCAGAUCAGCAACGCUGCGGUGAAUACGUUCCCGGGCCU
rnacentral:rRNA from 1 species